rfam:Clostridium sp. FS41 CLFS41_contig000020, whole genome shotgun sequence.
GGAAGCAGGCCUUCCGCAAUCGGUAUGCAGGUGCAGGUUGCAAAACACCCAUAGGUGCUAUAGACAAAAGCUACGGUAUUGAGCGUAUGAGGAAAAGGCAGUAAAGAAACUGUCAGU